rnacentral:rRNA from 1 species
GUAAGGAAUAUUGGGCAAUGGAGGCAACUCUGACCCAGCCAUGCCGCGUGAAGGAUUGACGGCCCUCUGGGUUGUAAACUUCUUUUGUACGGGAAUAACCCUCCGAACGUGUUCGGAGCUGAAGGUACCGUAAGAAUAAGGAUCGGCUAACUCCGUGCCAGCAGCCGCGGUAAUACGGAGGAUCCAAGCGUUAUCCGGAUUUACUGGGUUUAAAGGGUGCGUAGGCGGAUUGAUAAGUCAGUGGUGAAAUCCUGCAGCUUAACUGCAGAACUGCCAUUGAUACUGCCAGUCUGGAGUAUGGUUGAGGUAGCUGGAAUGUGUCAUGUAGCGGUGAAAUGCUUAGAGAUGACACAGAACACCGACGGCGAAGGCAGGUUACCAACCCAUUACUGACGCUGAGGCACGAAAGCGUGGGGAUCAAACAGGAUUAGAAACCCCAGUAGUCC